rnacentral:misc_RNA from 1 species
GAAAACUGCUCUCGUCUGUAGUGAAGCGCAGACUUGCGUAUUGGAUACCGAAUCAGAAACGGCGGCGCGCGCAUCGAAUUCACGCGGGUGCUACCACGAAGACCAGUGGCGUUGGCAAUGCUACUAAGAUAAAGGACGUUGCUAUACACAUCAGGUAACACUAAUAUAUUCUAUAUUUUCUCUUUAAUUUAAAAUAUAUCUAAUAGGUCAAAGUGCACUUAUAAUAUUCGUGGUAAUACUGUAUUUAUAUUAUUUAUUUUAUUUUAUACAUAAUAUUGUUCUAUCUUUGAACUAUUAUUUCAGUAAUAAAUGGUUAAGGCCAAGUAAUAAAGAAGCUAUACAAUAUUGAGUGUCAGUCUGUCUAUAUAAAGUUUAGAAAAGAUUUUCAGUUAGUUACAAUCAGAAUUUAGAAAGAGGUGACUUGGUCCAUAUCGACCUUUGUUACACUAUUAGCAUUAUUAGGUCUUCCAUUCAACUAAAAUAUUUGAAACACGACCAAAGGCUUAAGGUGUAGUUUGCAGUCUACAUUUUAUUUAAAACAAUCAUUAGAAUAAAUUAUUAUUUAAACUUGGAACACAACCACAUACAAAGAAGUAGUCUUAAAAUGAUUGUUAAAAACAGAAUUUAAAUUUGGAACACAACCAUAUACAAAGAAGUAGUUUUAAUAUGAUUGUUAAAAACAGAAUUUAAAUUUGGAACACAACCAUAUACAAAGUAGUAGUCUUAAUACGAUUGUUAAAUACAGAAUUUAAACUUGGAACACAACCAUAUACAAAGAAGUAGUCCUAAUAUGAUUGUUAAAAACAGAAUUUAAACUUGGAAUACAACCAUGUACAAAGAAGUAGUCUUAAUAUGAUUGUUAAAAACAGAAUUUAAAUUUGGAACACAACCACAAGCAAAGGAGUUACCUAUCGUCUCAAUAGGCUAGUUGACACUUUUUAACCGACUUCCAAAAAGGAGAUUCUACGUUCAGCUGUAUAUGUUUUUUUUG